CAAGGCUCCGUGAGACGGCAAGCCAAACAGCGGAGGGGAUUUUCCAGUGCUCGCUCGCUUCCUGGCCACCCUUCGAUCAACUGCUUUCCCAUGGGAGGAAAAGAAGCUGAAGCUCGUCAUUCCCUCUCCAACCCAAUGGCUAUUUAGAAAGAUUGCGCAGCUUAUACAUGCUUUGCAGCAAGUCUUGUCUGUACAUCUGACACCACACAAACCACAAGAGGCAAUAAAAUUCUUAUCCAAGGGGCUUACAAAAGAGCAACAAUUCUACAGGACAAGUACCAACAGCUGAUGAUGAAUAAUAAAUGCCGAUGUUUUACACUGGGAACAGUAUUAUUUUCAUUUGGAGCUCUUAAAAGAAUUCAUAUGUUUCACUGGCUUUGUCUGGAGUUAGCCAACACCCUGGGCUAAAAAGUUCAGAUAAGACAAAAAGAACUAGUGUAUUUCAGAGUGAUCAACAAAACUUACAUACGCUGAUACACUGAGUAAAGCUCAUUUCAUGUAUUUUGGGGGAAAUGGCCAUGACUCUGUACUCCAGAAUGGAAAGAAGAAAUUUCUAUAUAAUGUCUUUUCUUUUUGUAAACUACUCAAUAGCCAAAGUACAGAAGAAAAUAACAUUUUGGAUACUGGCCCUGGCUACAUUGGAUAUAAAAGCAAAUCUCAGCCUUCACCUUAGGGAACCCACAUGCACUCCUUCCAUAACCACGCAACGUAGGAAGGGCAAGUGCUGUGGAAGUAUCACACACCUGCUGUCAGCUGAAAGGAGCACUGUAUCAAGACAGUAUCACGAUGCUUUUUAGUAAGAAUCAAUACUCAGCUGACUCAGUGGUUUAAUUAACACAUCUUUCACAGAUAAAAGCUGCAAAGAAUACUGUGUUUUAGUGGUUUGUGAAUUAAAUUCAUUCUUCCACCCCCUAGAAGUUGAAAUAGGUGAUACUAAGAAUUAACAAAUAGUUUAAAGCAAUCCUUCCUCUCCCAGUUCUCUGCUGUGUUCUGAUUGUUCUCUGCUGUCUAAGCAUACUCUUCUAAGCUUGCACGACCGUUUUGCAACUUUUAUCUCUACCUCAUUAAAAAGUUAUCGUCAAAAUGGCAGCACUGAGUAUUGUAACACUGCAGACCAUCACUUCCGAACACCAGUGCCUCCUUCCCUUUUCUGGCCUGAAACACCUUAACCCUUGGUUUUUCCCCUCCAAAGUUUGCAGCUAUAAUACCAUGCUCUUUGGCCUCUGCAGUCUCGUUUUUAACUACAUUUCAUAUAUCCAACAUGUUCUUGAAAUACUGCUUUCCCAUUCUAAUCUUUCUGAUGUCCUCUCCCUUUCUUCACAGAAAGGCUCAGAAAUACAGGGUUUUUCAUGUCAACUUCCAAGAUCCCCUUUUGAUUUUUCUGGUGAUUUCCAACAGUGUCAAGAAUGAAUAUGGAGUUAGAACAGAACCUGUUUCACACUUGCACGCACACAAGCUGGUGUUCCAGUGAGGAACACAAAAAAAAACCACCAACAACAAACCAACAAAGAAA